rnacentral:lncRNA from 1 species
CGGCGGCGGCGGCGGAGGGGCGCUUUCGGUUCUUCUUCGAAUUGUAGAUUGCAGACGUUGCGGAGGUAGAGGCUGACGGCGCGGGCUGCGAAGGUGUUCCUCAGCGGCAAUAGCUGGUGGAGGCGGAGGACGGUGAACGGUGAAGGUUGUGGACGGCGGUGGGGUGGCUGGAGGCGGUAGGGAUUUAGGAUUUUAGGGAAAAAGAAGUGGAGAGAAGAGAAAGAAAUCUGGCGCUGAAAAGCGUGAAUUAAAUUUUGAGAC